rnacentral:rRNA from 1 species
UACAGAGGGGGCAAGCGUUAUUCGGAAUUAUUGGGCGUAAAGGGCGCGUAGGCGGCUUUUCAAGUGACGGGUGAAAUCCCUCGGCUUAACCGAGGAACUGCCUGUCAGACUGGAAGGCUUGAGACCGGGAGAGGUGAGUGGAACUGCGAGUGUAGAGGUGAAAUUCGUAGAUAUUCGCAAGAACACCAGUGGCGAGGGCGGCUCACUGGCCCGGUACUGACGCUGAGGUGCGAAAGCGUGGGGAGCAAACAGG